GGGUUUAUGUGCGUCCCCCUCACCCCCUCCUCUCUUUUUUUCUUUCUCUGUCUCUGUCGUCUCUCUCGCUGGCUUUUUAAAAAUGAGGAACCGUUCCUUGAACGUUCUGGACAGAGCACAGAAUUGCCUAAGUCAGCCCGAAGCGGUUGUAAUAGACAGCAAAAAGGUACACGUUUGCCUGAAAUCCGCACGCCAGCUCCACCACCCCGCCCGAUGGGUUGAGAAAAGCAGCUAGGAAAGCCCUGUUGUUACUCGCCUUAAACCAGCACUGAGUGGUGAGCUGAAGACAACUGUCUUCCAGGGGGAAGAGAAACCAUGGAGGUCAGACAAGAAGAAGAAAUGGGAGGCAUCUAUUCCUGAAGCAGAAGCGCAGUGGGAUAACCGGUUUUAAAAAAUGUUGUGGAAUUCAAGGCUCCAAAAUGGAAACAAGAAGUCAUGGAAAGGUUCCCUUGGAAGGAAACUUGGAGAACACUGGUCAACUUCCCACAGAAGCCAGAGUCUGGAGAUGGGCAGAUGGGCAGAUAGACGCCGAUUCAGCUUUCUUGGGAGUUGUAAGUUCAAGGCAGAAAAAAAUCAUGUAGUUGUUUCUCAGUGUCCAUCUGGGAUUGGUUCCCAGACCUCUGAGGAUGCCAAAGUCUGAGGAUGCUCAAGUCCCUUACAUAAAAUGAUGUAGUACAGAUGGCCUUCCAUAGACGUGGGUUCUGCAUUCACAGACCCAUCUAAAGCCAGAUCAUCUUUGGGCUGGCUGAACAUGCAGGUGAGGAAUCCACAGGUGAUUCUCUCCGCAGAAUGUCCUUUGUCCCAGAGUUUGGGGGAUAUUUUUUCUUAAGUGGUUCAAACACUGAUACACUUUCUUCAGAGUCUUGGCUACAGAUAGAUAACUAAGGUUUCUCAAGAUGAAGAAAAAAAAUGGAGGAUUGUACACUACUGAGAAUCUAAGGAAGUAUCUGGCAGUGUAACUGACUCUAUAACAAGAGAAAAACUUCAAAAUGAUUGGGCAACAAGAAGACAGAAAUAACCAUGUUGAGGUCAUUGGUCCGACUUCUCCAGAAAUUUCCCCUGGGCAGUGGUCUCUACCUCUGUUACAGAAGACUGCAAAAAUACCAGCCAUUGUGCAUCUGGCCAAUUAUGCAAUGCUCUAUCACAAGGGGAAAUUCCUUCCUCACCCCAGCUGGAGCCAUUCACCCAGCACAGUGUCCUGGGGCAAUGGCCCUGGUGCAACCAAUGGCUGGCAUCUCCAUCAAUACAGCUUUGACGUCCUAAUGGCGAGGCCUUGCUCCACAUCUGAUGACUUUCAAAUGGGAUCUGCUGUUCAGCUGCUAACCUUUCUUGGUGACCACAGUGGAUGUUGAAUAUUUAUGGGAGGAGUGGACAGUUCUGCUUAAGCUCUAGAUUUAAAUAAGGACAGCGUUCAAAUGCUUCUGCUGACAUUUGUUUGCUGUGUGAUUUGGGCCAAUUAUUUAAACACCCUGUGUCUCAGAGUCCUCAUUUGUAGGAUGAAUAGAACAGUGUGAUUGAUAUAAGGAAUCCAACAUUCCAAGCACACAAGCUGCCACAAGGGGCUUCUGCUUUGGAUAUUUUAUCUGAUAUAGUUGUCAUUUCAAGGCCACUUCUACAAGUGGUAAACCCUGGGUCAGCUGCCUGUUCCUCAUUAAAGUGGUGGCCAUUCCUUUUCCAAGAACAGACCAGAACGGCUUUGCUAAUCUGAGAGCUCUGAGUAUGGGGGCAUCUUGUAUGUGGGGAUCUUGAGAGUGGAAGGCACUUCAACAGGUAAGUCCAGCACAUCCUUGAAAGAGUUUAUAUUGCUGGAUUCUGGCUCCAAAUCCUGUCUUCACUGGUUUCAAGAUGGGAGAGGCCAUUACUUGGAUGAAGGAGAUUCAUUUGUGGAGAUCAAAUCAAAGAGGUAUUUGGAACAGGGGUAGAGAUAGAAGUCAGGGACCAUUUCCAAAGAGAAGUGAUCUUUGUGCUGAUUCUAGAUCGAUGGUUGAGUUAGCUCCAUGGGAAUGUGUGACAAGGGGUAAGGGUGGGGCAGAGGGCAUGUGCAAAGGUCUUGGAGAGAUGUUUGGUGAAAAGCUGAGCCAAAUCUCUAGAAAAUUUAGAUAGAGACCCUUAAAAAGGUUGGUCCUCGCCCUUAUCUCAGAUUUGAAUUAGCUAGGUUACUGCUUCAAUUUUGUGGCUGAUAUUUUCCCAGUUUGAUCUAUAACCAAACAUAGAUUAUUUGUCUUAAAUUUAGGUAGGGAAAUAACAAUGCCAUGUGAAUUAUAUUCCUUUCUUAGUAGCUGUUUAUCAAGGGGUAUGUGUGUGUGUGUUUACACUCAUUUUUUUUGGUCUUGCCCAGGCAUAAAUAAAGAUUGCUGGGCUUGUUUAUGGUAAGAGCUAUGAGAUUCCAGAUUGCUGCUAAUGGUGACUUUGUAGCUAGCGAAGAGGAGCAGGACCUGCAAGAAGGAGCUCAAAUUUUGAAGUUCAUGGCCUGGGGACAAGGAUCAACUUUGCAUUUACUGACUUAUGACUUUAGACAAGUGACUUAACCUCUCUAAGCCUCAAUUACCCCCCCCCCCUUGGGGUUAUAAUAAAAUUAUUUGCCUCAUUUAUCUCAUAGGAUUAUUUGUAUGAUGUAGUUUAUAUGAAAGAACUGCAAAAAUUAUGAAGCUCUUGGUAAAUAUGAGUCAUUAUGGUUAUAGAAUAAAUAUACCCUUAAAAAAAUGUGACAGG